rnacentral:rRNA from 1 species
GCUUAACCGGAGAAGUGCAUCGGAAACUGGGAGACUUGAGUGCAGAAGAGGACAGUGGAACUCCAUGUGUAGCGGUGAAAUGCGUAGAUAUAUGGAAGAACACCAGUGGCGAAGGCGGCUGUCUGGUCUGUAACUGACGCUGAGGCUCGAAAGCAUGGGUAGCGAACAGGAUUAGAUACCCUGGUAGUCCAUGCCGUAAACGAUGAAUGCUAGGUGUUGGAGGGUUUCCGCCCUUCAGUGCCGCAGCUAACGCAUUAAGCAUUCCGCCUGGGGAGUACGACCGCAAGGUUGAAACUCAAAGGAAUUGACGGGGGCCCGCACAAGCGGUGGAGCAUGUGGCUUAAUUCGAAGCUACGCGAAGAACCUUACCAGGUCUUGACAUACUGUGCUAACCUAAGAGAUUAGGCGUUCCCUUCGGGGACGCAGAUACAGGUGGUGCAUGGCUGUCGUCAGCUCGUGUCGUGAGAUGUUGGGUUAAGUCCCGCAACGAGCGCAACCCUUAUUGUCAGUUGCCAGCAUUCAGUUGGGCACUCUGGCGAGACUGCCGGUGACAAACCGGAGGAAGGUGGGGAUGACGUCAAGUCAUCAUGCCCCUUAUGACCUGUGCUACACGCGUGCUACAAUGGAUGGUACAACG